CCCUUAAGGUGUUUGAGAGCCUUCUAAGAGAACCAUUAACUUUGAACAGCAAAGGUUUCUAAUGAAUACUUUUAUUGAUUGCUCUUGCAACAGGUUUGGUCUUAACUACAUGUACUGUUCGUGUAUUCUAACUUGAAAUUAUGUUGAAUCUUCCCAAUGCAAUAUUAGUAACUGGUAAAUUUUUAAUCAGAUAUGGCAUGUAAAUACUCCUUUUUUCUUUCUUCCUUUCUUUUUUUUUAAAGACAAAACCAUCAAAGUGCAUAUUGUCCAUUUUUUCUUUUUCUGUCUUUAUAUAAACAUAAUAAGAAUAAAAUAGUCUGAGAAUUACAUACAGCUAACAAAGGUGCUCCUACUGAACUAAGCAAUUAAGCCAUCAGAAUGUGAAUGGUUUGGCUGCAAGGUAUGCAGAAAUACCUGGUUUGGGAUUUCAUACAUUACACAAGUUUUAAUUUUAAACAGAACAUUUUUGCAUCUAGAUAAAAUCUCAGAAUUGUUAGGUCUCUUGUAUAUAACCUGCACAUUAGUGUGAAAAAUGUAAAUGGAUAUUAAGUAGGAGCGUUUGUGAUUCAUUCCUUCUAUAUGUAUGAGCAUUUCUUUUCAACGUGUUUCUCAGCUUGCAUGAAAACUACCGUUUUGCUGCCAUGGAAAUGAGAAAUAGUGAAAGUUAAUGGAAUGAUGAAUCCCCAUUGCUUGAAGACUUUCAGUCAGAGCUGGCUGCCUCAGAGAGUUACUGUUUCUGUGCAGGAGGAACCAGAGGAGGUAGUGACCUCUGUCUUUCUUUAAAGACCUGUGUCUUUGUUUAAAGCCCUUUUCUGUCCCUGAAAUGAUGUCUGUGAUAUAAACAGCUUUGGUUGUUUUUUUUACAGUCGACUUUCCAGAUCUCCUUGAAAGUCUCAUGGAGGGGCUGAAUGUCUUUGGGAAUGCUGGACAGGAGAGUUGGACAGGAACUGGUUUCUCUAGAGUUCAUUUGGCAUUGAGUUCACAGAUGCUUCAUUGACAGGAAUCUUAGCAGAGAGCUUAUGUGCCUUACCACUGCUUGUUACUUGUGUAUGGAAACCUCUCAGGUCUCUUUUGUUAUUAGAAAAAGAAAUUUCAGCCCUGCUCCUGUUCAGACGAUCUAUUGGCUCUGUGUUAGAAAAUAUAAUAGCACAGAUCUGAGAGCAUUAGUUAAAGACGUGAAGAAUCACACCCUAUGUUGUAAACGUAAAUUUUUGUGAAUUAUAUUUUAUUUAAGUACGCUUGGGAAAUUUACAUAUAGAUUAAACCCUAAAUAUACGAAAUGUCAGCCUGUUUACAUCCUAAUGCCUUCACAUCAGACGGUGUAUGGAUUGGGUUCAACGCUGGAGCACUCCCCUCAUUACCUUGAACUAACACGUUACAACAGUGAGGGUUAAAAGGAAACAUUACAGACCACAGACAUGCUGGGGAAGUGUUUGAACUGCUUGGACUUUGCUAUGAACUUGUCAGAAUUUUAAUGCAUGUUGCCUGAAAAGCUAAUGAGUCUCCAUCUGGAGACAAUAUAACUGAUUACGGGCUUAAUUAUUUCUCUUACCUGAACAGCUCCAUUUUUUGUUCACACUCACUUUUACAAAAGCAGCAGCAGCAGUGUCAACUUGAAGGCUGUUAUUGCUCAAAUGUGCAUUCCAUACAGGCAAACACCUUGUUUCUUUGUGGCUUUGUCUUCUUUUCCCUCUAAUUUUAAUUUCUUGGGCAUUUGAAAUGCUUCCUCCCCCAGGGUGAUCUUGUAGUGGUUAGCAGUUCAUCAGAGAGGUUGUACAGAUGCUAUUGAUAUCUGUGUCUUCAUGGAUGGGGCAGCAUAAUCUAAUAGCUCUCGCACUGAGAGUCACAUCAGUGGGAUAAUAUAGAAUGAUCACUCCAACUGAAGUAUAAUAGCACUAAAGGAGGAAACGGAAGCUUGCAGAGCAAAAGAAAGCUGAAGAUGGACUUGAGUUGUUUGGAUAUUGAUACAGCACAGCAGGAAAGAGUCCACAAAACCUAACCAAUGGGGCACAGCUGUCCAGGCAAAGGAUUUGGAACAUGCCUGUAGACUCACUGCAGUCCCCUUCUUUCUUCUUUCUGUCUUCAUCUGGAAGAAAUCGGGUUACAAGCUGCCUAUAUAAAGACUGUGCACAUUCAGCGCCUGGGGUUGGGUUCAGUGUGGCUGGGCUAUCUGGAGUGCUUUGCUGCAGGGUUUGGAAACCAGAAGCAGUAGAGUAGGUUCCCAAAGAUAGCAAAACUAAUCAGUGCAUUUCAGUUAGUGUGUUUAUUCAUCCAUUGGUGUAAGGGCUUGGUUUUAUGGGCACUUUUAUUUUUCAGUGUACUAACUGUCAUACUUUUCCUCACUCUUUUACUUUAUUCCCAUGAGCUGAAGCCAACCUGUCUGGGGUGACCAGGUGCCCUCCAGCUCUGUGUUAUGGAGGCGUCAGGACAUAAACACUGAUGAGGCAAUGGGUGCAGCCACAUGGUAAUGAGGGCAUUAAGAUUUCAGUUUACUUUGUGGGAAUGCAACAAUGAUGUUUUGACUUGCUGGAGACAGUGAUUCUGUGCAAGCAACAACCAAUUUCAAAGAGAUGAAAAAAAGGUUUUCCUUGCUUGGCUAAAACAUCCAUUGGAGAAGGUAAGUGCCUAUGCCCUGCUCCUGCAGGCAGCCAGAAAAAUGUCCCCAGUUCUUCCAGGCAGCUGUGAAAUGAGAACUUUCUCCUAACGGAUGAUACAUUCCUCUUAUUAGUUACAGCCCAGUGGCCACUGUCAAACACUUAUUAAUUAUUCCUCUAUUUUUUCCUUUCUAGCACCUGCAAGAAGAUUUUGCCUUCAGUAAACAGCACUUUAUUGACCAGCAGUUUGCUAUUGAUUUCUGUAUUCAAUAAAAAUGUGGGCUGUAAUAUAUAGAUACAGGAUUCCUGAUUCUCCUUCUAUGCUUGUGGAACUCAGGACAAAUUGAUUUUGAGCUCCUUGGGAUUACCUGGUGGUGGUGCUGUGGAAAUGAGAUGUUUGCCUUUCUGCCUUCUCCAGUCUUCUAUUUACUUAAGUGCAUCACGUCAUCUUGUGCAGAGUGAUUCUGAGAGAGAUUCUGCAGUAAAUGAGUGAAGAAAUCGCUGGUGCAGGAUUGCUGAAUUCCAGAGGGUAAAGGAGGAGCACCUGCAGCGAGGACAUGAAACAUGGAGUUUGCUGCAGUGAGCUUUGGGAUCUCAGGAUGUGGUACUUUGAAAUUAAAUUUCUCUAGUUAGUCUUCCAAAUAAGCAGCAUGCUACCUGUCUUAAAACUGCUAUAAACAAAUUUCAUCAUAGUAGGCUUGCCUGAGUGCAAUCUGCACACCCCAGAUAAGAAGGAGCUACAGUUUACUUGGAUAUGCACUUGUCUGGUGGGUGGUAGCUUAGUUCAUGUCUUCUGAAUUCCCAUACUCACUUUUGCUGGAACUUGUAUCUCUACACUGAAACCCACAGGUGGUGAUCUGUGCAUCUGAAGACAGAUCUGGAUGUAAGUGCUGAAGUUUGAGUGGAACUCUGGUUUUGAAUGGAAUUGUUUGGUUUUCUUUGGUGGGAUUAUGGCUAAGUCUAGGCUCUGGAGGUGCUGAGUGCAAUGUGUAGUGCUAACCCAGAUGGUCCCUUUGUCUCCUUAUGCUCCUUUAUGCUUUAUUUGUUGUUUUACCAAAUAAAAGUGCUGAAGGCAAGAAACUUCUUUUGAUUUCUUGUUUGCAGAGGAUUCAAUAAGAGCCUGUCUUAUGAAUGAGUCCUCAAGGCACUG